rnacentral:lncRNA from 1 species
UUUAUCGCAAGCUGCCCAGUUGCGUUAGCGUCUUUGUUCCCGUGCGGUAGCUGUGCGAGUCCAUGUUGAAUUUAUCGUGGGCUGCUCGUUAACGGUAGCCGUCGGGUGCGUGUUUGUUUGCUUGGUUGGUUCUACUUGCACAGUGUCGUUGUGGCCUUGUGACUCACUACUGCUGCUGGGAGAUAUUUGGAGCGGCCAACGAAUGAAAAGGCACCGAGCUCGUCCACGCUGAAACAAGUGGCAACCUUCUCCAGGCUUACUACAAAUGACCUUUUAGUGGCCACGACAAAGAUUAGCCAUUUUGGUUCGGAACGAGUCGAACAUAACCGUGUGGGUUGCUCCCGGUUAACAAAAGCUCAUUGUGAUGUCUUCACAAACCAGCUCUGAGGACUUCAUGUCACUUGUACAGGAGUGGCUUCCAGCACUCAGCGAGGAAGACCUCACAACGAUUGGUCGG